GACGAACGCUGGCGGCGUGCUUAACACAUGCAAGUCGAACGGAAAGGCCCUGCUUUUGUGGGGUGCUCGAGUGGCGAACGGGUGAGUAACACGUGAGUAACCUGCCCUUGACUUUGGGAUAACUUCAGGAAACUGGGGCUAAUACCGGAUAGGAGCUCCUGCUGCAUGGUGGGGGUUGGAAAGUUUCGGCGGUUGGGGAUGGACUCGCGGCUUAUCAGCUUGUUGGUGGGGUAGUGGCUUACCAAGGCUUUGACGGGUAGCCGGCCUGAGAGGGUGACCGGCCACAUUGGGACUGAGAUACGGCCCAGACUCCUCCGGGAGGCAGCAGUGGGGAAUAUUGCACAAUGGGCGGAAGCCUGAUGCAGCAACGCCGCGUGCGGGAUGACGGCCUUCGGUUUGUAAACCGCUUUCGCCUGUGACGAAGCGUGAGUGACGGUAAUGGGUAAAGAAGCACCGGCUAACUACGUG
rnacentral:rRNA from 1 species